rnacentral:tmRNA from 1 species
GGGGGUGAAAUUGGUUUCGACGGGGUUAAAGGGACUUAGAACUGCAUACCGUGUUCUCCGUGUACACGUUAACAAAGCGGUAAAAAAAUUAACUGGCGAAUAUAACUACGCCUUAGCUGCUUAAUUUAAUAGCAGCCGUUCAAUUAGUUCUUUCACACCGGAAUUAAUUUGAACGCCGUUUAGGUGUGAUAGUUGAGCCUGCCGCUCUUGCAGGUAAGAUGAAUCUUUCAAUGAGCAAGUGUUAGAUGAUCCGUGUUUACCCGGUAAUUUAACACUAAAAUAAAGAUAAACUAAGUAUGUAGAAGUUCUUUGGGACUUAACUUCGGACGCGGGUUCGACUCCCGCCACCUCCACAA